AACGAACGCUGGCGGUACGCCUAACACAUGCAAGUCGAACGGUACCAGGCCCGCAAGGGUGCUGGCGAGUGGCGAACGGGUGAGUAACACGUGGAUGACCUACCUUGAGGUGGGGGACAACAGCUAGAAAUGGCUGCUAAUACCGCAUAUCUCCUAAGGGAUAAAGGCGCAAGUCGCCUUAAGAUGGGUCCGCGUUGGAUUAGCUAGUUGGUGAGGUAAUGGCCCACCAAGGCGACGAUCCAUAGCUGGUCUGAGAGGAUGAUCAGCCACACUGGGACUGAGACACGGCCCAGACUCCUACGGGAGGCAGCAGUGGGGAAUAUUGCGCAAUGGGGGAAACCCUGACGCAGCGAUACCGCGUGGGUGAAGAAGGUCUUAGGAUUGUAAAGCCCUUUCAGUGGGAACGAUUGUGACGGUACCCACAGAAGAAGCACCGGCCAACUCCGUGCCAGCAGCCGCGGUAAUACGGAGGGUGCAAGCGUUGUUCGGAAUUACUGGGCGUAAAGGGCACGUAGGCGGUCCGAUAAGUCAGGAGUGAAAUGCAAAGGCUCAACCUUUGAACUGCUCUUGAAACUGUUGGACUUGAGUUUGGCAGAGGGUGGUGGAAUUCCCCAAGUAGAGGUGAAAUUCGUAGAUAUGGGGAGGAAGACCGGAGGCGAAAGCGGCCACCUGGACCAAAACUGACGCUGAGGUGCGAAAGCGUGGGGAGCAAACA
rnacentral:rRNA from 1 species